rnacentral:piRNA from 1 species
UUUUCUUUCCCUACGCACUUA